UCCUGGCUCAGAUUGAACGCUGGCGGCAGGCCUAACACAUGCAAGUCGAGCGGUAGAGAGAAGCUUGCUUCUCUUGAGAGCGGCGGACGGGUGAGUAAUGCCUAGGAAUCUGCCUGGUAGUGGGGGAUAACGUUCGGAAACGGACGCUAAUACCGCAUACGUCCUACGGGAGAAAGCAGGGGACCUUCGGGCCUUGCGCUAUCAGAUGAGCCUAGGUCGGAUUAGCUAGUUGGUGAGGUAAUGGCUCACCAAGGCGACGAUCCGUAACUGGUCUGAGAGGAUGAUCAGUCACACUGGAACUGAGACACGGUCCAGACUCCUACGGGAGGCAGCAGUGGGGAAUAUUGGACAAUGGGCGAAAGCCUGAUCCAGCCAUGCCGCGUGUGUGAAGAAGGUCUUCGGAUUGUAAAGCACUUUAAGUUGGGAGGAAGGGUUGUAGAUUAAUACUCUGCAAUUUUGACGUUACCGACAGAAUAAGCACCGGCUAACUCUGUGCCAGCAGCCGCGGUAAUACAGAGGGUGCAAGCGUUAAUCGGAAUUACUGGGCGUAAAGCGCGCGUAGGUGGUUUGUUAAGUUGGAUGUGAAAUCCCCGGGCUCAACCUGGGAACUGCAUUCAAAACUGACUGACUAGAGUAUGGUAGAGGGUGGUGGAAUUUCCUGUGUAGCGGUGAAAUGCGUAGAU
rnacentral:rRNA from 1 species